UGGGGAAUAUUGCGCAAUGGGGGAAACCCUGACGCAGCGACGCCGCGUGAGCGAAGAAGGCCUUAGGGUUGUAAAGCUCUGUUUUAGGGGACGAAUGUUUCGGGGAGUAAUAUGCCCUGUAAAUGACGGUACCCUAAGAGGAAGCCCCGGCUAACUACGUGCCAGCAGCCGCGGUAAGACGUAGGGGGCGAGCGUUGUCCGGAAUUACUGGGCGUAAAGAGCACGGAGGCGGGAACUUAAGUCAGGUGUGAAAGACCGAGGCUCAACCUCGGGUAUGCACUUGAAACUGGGUGUCUUGAGGGCAGGAGAGGAAAGCAGAAUUCCUGGUGUAGCGGUGAAAUGCGUAGAAAUCAGGAGGAAUACCAGUGGCGAAGGCGGCUUUCUGGACUGACCCUGACGCUGAGGUGCGAAAGCGUGGGUAGCAAACAG
rnacentral:rRNA from 1 species